CAGUGAAGCCCCCAGCUCAGGGCCUGGCACAGAGUGGGUGCCACCACACACCAGGAGUGUGCCCUGGGGCACAUCAUUUCUCUAGGCCUCCAUUUCCCCACCUGAAAAGGAGGCUCUGAGAGCCCCAGUAAUCACGCAGGUGGUUUAAGGCACACGGAGUGCAGCCUAGCAGCUGGCACCUAGCAGGUGCUUGUUAAUCAUCAGCUGACAUUUACAGAGGGCUUCCUCUGUGCCAGGUGCUGUUUGUCUCAAGUUGUUGAACACUGUUCUAACAUCGGUCUCUGAACACUAAGGGUCGUUCCCGCCAUCAUCUCGCUGUACAGAUGAGGCCGUGCCGCUGUCAAGUGGCAGAGCUGUGUGUGAGGAGUUGGCCCGGCAGCCAUGUAACCAAGCUUCCUGGAGUGGAGAUGACCUCUCUUUAGACCCCCUUGGGUGCCUGGCAUGCAGUAGGUGUACACUGGGGUUUGCUGAAUGGAAUAGAGGCUGUGGAACCCCAUGCGCCACCUGGGAUCCUCCGGGUAUGAGGGGGAAAGGCCUGGGCCCUGGGUUCCUUUGGGGCAGAACAGGGCCCCCUCCCAGGCACCCUGGAUGGGUGUGGCCUUUGCUCCUUUUUUCAGUCUGGUCUGUCCCACCCACUGCCUGCAGUGUGGCCCGCAGUGCCCUGAGCAGCCCAGCCUCUCCUCUCCGGCAGGGCCUUGGCAACCCAGCCCUCAUUGGCUGCACGUAUCCUUGGAGACGAGGCACCAGCAGUGCAAACAUAGGCUGUAGGAUAUUUCCUCCCUCCCCCGCCCCCUUGCCCUCACUGCCAUGAGGGAUCUAUUCACCUCCCAGAAGCAAGCCUGCACAUCCGGAAGGAGACUGCCGCCCACGUCGCCUGGAACAUCAGCUAUGGCCACAAGCACCUGAAGGAGGGACUCUUGCCCAGGAAGCGGCUCCAAAAGGCCCCCUUCAGGGGAAUCCAUGAAGGACACCAGGGCUCCAGCUUAUGCCAGGUUCCAGCCCAUCACAAAGAGCUUUUACAUCAAAAGUAGCAUCUUCCAUGUCCCACGGCGAACAGACCAGUGGAUGUGAAUUUGCUGGGGGUUCAGAAGCUGCUCCUUCCUUUUCGUGUGAUCUGUCUGGACCCUGAAGAGCAGAGACACUGCCAGCCCCACCCUCCCUCUGUUCCGUUCAGCUCUGCCAAGCAGGGAGAGUCACGAGUCCUACUCUAAGCACAGUGCAGUCUGAUGUUCCAGCAGGCCACCUGCCACAUGCUGAUCUGGGGACCCAGGCUUCUCCCAUCUGGUGGCUCUGCCAUCUCCUAGGGCCUCAGAGUCCUUCCCUGAGUCCUCUACACCCAGCUGGGGGAUGAGGGAGGAGAGACAGAGGGCCUGGAGAGAACAUGCCUACCCUUGACCACCUUGGCCUGGAGCUGACAAAGGUCACUUCCUGUCACAUCCUAUUGCAGCAAGUCUGCAAAGCUGCUUAGAAGAGGACAGGCUGCUACCAGGGCAGCUUUUCGCAGCUGGGAUUUUGCAAAUAAAUUAAGUCUUUUGGAACAUG